UUCGUGGCGCUAUCAUCUCGACGCUAGGGGGCGCCCUCGCCUCACGUUGUAACCUCAGCCUCUGGCGUCAGGAUCCAUUUCUUUCUAGAGCUUUCCCCGUCCGAGAGGCGGUGUAGGUGCUCACGUAGGCGGGUACCGAUCCGAGUAGGGUGAGACUGACAAACAAAAGGGAUCCGCGGGAGCGUUGAAUGCAGGCUACUGGGCUCUUCGCCGGCAGCAGUCACACAGUGCUGGCCGGGAGUCACCGUGACGUCCUUGAGCUGAGAGCCCUCUCCAGGUCGCCGGACUGCGGAGCCAGGGUGAAGGCAAACGUGGAUGGGUCUUCCGGGAGGGCUGCUCAGGGUUUCCGUCUUCUGCUUCCUGGGCGCUGGCUCAGAACGCAUCCCAGAGCUCCCUGGUGCCUUCCUGGAAGCGGGCAGUGGUCACUGUCAACACUGGGCCCCCUUGGGGGAGCCUGCCAGCUGGGGGGGUCAGGGGUCAGGAACCACAGCCAGGUGGGUCCGGAGCCGGUGGCCUCACCUGGCGGCUGCCAAGCGGAGGCUGCCUGUGGUUCCCCAAGGGCCAGCAAUUGGGCGGAUUAGGUAAACAACCAAGCCUUGACCGUGAUCUGAUGUUUUUUUAAAAAAAGGUAUUCAUGUUGGUGCUAGCACGAAUGUGAGAGUGGCUGAGGCUUUGGGGGAGUUUGGUAUGAGAAAGGAACUUGUAUAGUUAGAAAAAUAAAAAGGGAAUGAUACAGUCUCCCAGCUCCCCUACACAAUGAUUUAGCUGUGGUUCAAGGGAAAGUAAGAGGACAAGGAACACGUCCAAGGUGCAGGGACCCGCUGGGGCAGUGGGGCCAGCCUAGGGCCCCGCGGUGGGGUGCACCCCCCCCCAAGACACUAUUAAUGAAACCUGGCAGCCCAGCGAUGAUUUUAUUUUUGUCCCUACAGCAGCUCCCAGAGGGCUGGCUUUGCGGGUCCUGGUCCAUGAGGUUGGGAUAAUGGAAUUCAGUACACAGAAAGUGAAGAGAGAGAGAGACAGAGAGAGGCCAGGGUUACUGCUGCCCCCACGGAGCAGACAGCCUGGGAAGGGCCUUGCAAGGUGACGGCAGAAUAUAGGAGGCUUCUACUACCCAGGCCUUGGAGCCGGCCCCAGCGUCUGUGGCCGGUGAAUGAGUGAACCUGUGAGCUUGCCAACGCUCUUUGGUCUGAACGUGGUGGGGUCGCGGCCGUGCUGUGGGGAGGAAGAAAGCGACCGAGACUGACCCUGCCUCCAGGGAGCUGCACCUGUGCCCUCGGAAUCAGUUUUCACAUGUUCAGGUCCCCUUUCUUCUGUUCCGCAUUCGAGGAGAAACUGGAAGGCCUGGACCCAGAAGUCUCAUGUCAACUGCAUAAAUGCUUAUUGGCCUCCCUUUAAUUUUGGUUUGAGCUCAAGACUAUCUCGAGCUUAGUUGUAACACGCACAAGGACAGCUCAGUGAUAUUUCCUAUUUCUCCAGUUUGCACAAAUCCAGUGAAGACAUGGACAGCUCGGACUGUGGGAAAAGGAGAAGUGGGCUGAGACUCUGAUACGCCGGCCUCGGAAUCGCUUGUUUACAGAAUCAGCAGCAGGGCCCGCAGAGGCUGGGCCGAGGCCUCGGCCGUGCCUGGGAAACGGGAAACUCAGUUCCCUGUUUUUGGCAGGACAUGAAAGCUGAAGAUUAUCCCCUAAUCCUGUGGCAUUUUUUAAUCCAUGGAAUGGGCUUUGGGGCUCAGUAAUUUCCACUUAAAGUCACACACUCGCUCGGAGGCCCGAAUGUUUCGGUUACUCCUGCCGAAUCCAUGGAGAGGCCACGGCCACCGUGAGUGUCGGCGAUGGCUGACAGAGAAGACAGCUGGGCUCCUGUCCAGUGGUGACACACCCUCUCCACCCCGCACUGCCCCCUCUGUUAGAAUGCAAAUGGAGGAAGUUUGAAAGUCCACGCGGUAUCAACAAAUGGGAACCGCUGGUGUGUUCCGUGGCACAUGCACGUGAUGGAGUAUUAUUUGGCCAGCAAAAGGACCGAAGUACUGACACCUGCUGCUUCACAGAUGAACCCCGAAGAGUGCCGAGUAUCAGAAGCCGCACACAAAAGGCCACGCGUUGUGUGGCUCUGUUUAUGUGACAUGUCCACAAAUGAGCAAAUGCACAGAACCAGAACUCAGAUUAGUGGUGGCAGGGGUUGGAGAGUGGGAAAUGGGGUGACUGUGGAGAGAAGGAGAGGCAGAGAGAGAGAGAGAGAGAGAGAGUCUUCCAUCCGCUGGUUCACUUCCCAGAUGGCUGCAAUGGCCAGAGCUGAGCAGAUCUGAAGCCAGGAACCAGGAGCUUUCUCCAGGUCCCCCACAUGGGUGUAGGGGCCCAAGGCUUUGGACCAUCUUCCACUGCUUUCCCAGACCAUAGCAGGAAUCUGGAUCGGAAGUGGGGUAGCUGGGUCUUAAACCAGCGCCCAUAUGGGAUGUCGGCCCCGCAGGUGAAGGCUUUACCCUCUACGCCACGGUGCUGGCCCCGGGUGAGGUGUUUCUUUUCGGGGUGAUGGAAGCUCUCUGGAGUUGCUGGUGGUGAUUGUGCACUUCUGUGAUGUGUUAGCCAACACAGAAGCAUACUCUGAAAGGGUGAACUUUGUAGAUGCAAGUUAUAUCUCAAUAAAGAAAAGCGAAAAUAAAAAGCGGCAAAGCCUCCCAAGGGGUCAAAAAUAAGAGUAAGAGGGGAAAAUCUGACUGUCCUGUUGGUGCCUGUCCUGAAGACGAUUUCCCAGCAUCCUCAGUGAGCCAAACCGUCCCUGUCCUCACCAUUGCCCUCACACUGGCUCAGGUCUCUAGCACUCUUGCCUGGGUAAACUAACGACUUUUUUUUUUCCUUUUAUAUAUUUGUUUUAAAAUUACCUGUGUUUUAUCUUCAUUUUAUUUGAAAUGGAGAGAGAGAGAGGAGAGAGAGAGAGAGAGAGAGAGAGGAGAAUCUUCCAUCCACUGGUUCACUCUCCAAAUUCUUCCAAUGAUCAGUGAUCAGGACUGGGUCAAGUCAAAGCUAGGAGUUGGGAACUCUGGGUCUCCAAUGUGGAUGGCAGGGACCCAACUACUUGAGCCAUCAUUUGCUUCCUCCCAGGGUGCAAUUUAGCAGGAAGCUGGAGUGGGGAGUGGAGCCGGGACUUGAACCCAGGCACUGUGGCAGGGAUGUGAGUGUCCCAAGAUGCAUCUUAACUGCUAUACCAAAUGCCUGCUCUGGACUAAAGGGUUUUGACAGUUGCAAGGAUCCAGCCCAACUCUCUUGCUUACUAGGGUGGGGGUGGGGGGAGCUAGUCCCAGACAGCACAAGUCACGUGUGCAGAGCUCUCUGCUCAGUGGCUAAGCUGCAUCUGAAACCCAGAGUUCUUUUUGGUGGUCCAUGAUUGCAAUCACUUCCCCUCUCCUUCAGCUCCUCUUGCUCCUAUCCUGUUGCACAAGGGAGCAUCCAAAAGUUCCUGCGGGCUGGCCUUGUGGUGCAGUUGAGUUCAGCCGCAACCUGAAACGCUAGCAUCCCAUAUCAGAGUGCUGGUUCGCAUCUGGCUGUACCACUUCCGAUCCAGCUCCCCGCUAAGGCACCUGGGAAGGCAGUGGGUGGCGGACCAAAUACUUGGUCUCUUGUCACCCCGAUGGGAGACUGGGUUGGAGUUCUGGGCUCCUGGCUUCAGCCUGGCCCGGCUUCUGCCAUUGUGGCCGUUUGGGGAGUGAGCCAAUGGCUGAAAAAUCUCUUUCUCUCUCUGUCUCUUCCUUUCUCUCUGUCACUCGGCCUUUCAUAUAAAUAAAAUAAAUCAUUAACAAAAGUUAAUGGAAAAUGCAAUUAAAAGAUUAGUUUAUUUUGGUGCCAACAUUUUUGAGACUUGUGCACACAAGGGGUCUUCCAGAAAGGCCAUGGAAACUGUUUAUUCUGAAGAAAUUACGCCUUUCAAAAACUGUGUGUGUUUAUCGCUUUGCUCCUCAGCCAAAGUGCAAAUCCUGGGGUCCUUGACCUCCUGGCGUGGAGCACAGCAGAGUUCCUUAAACGUGGGAGAAACCUGGAAGCGUUUACAGAGGAGCUGAACCCAUUCAAGGCUGUGGCUAAUCUUCGUCCGGACAAAGCCAAGGGUGUCGUGCUGCAGUCCAUUGUAGAUUUAGAAAAUGGAACAAAAAUCCCAGGAAUACAAAGAAGGAAAGCAAAAGCUCCCGUAAUUCCAGCCCCUAGGGAGUAGUAUCUGGUGACAAGCUUUGCUCUGUACAAUUGCCCGCAUGUGCAUCACGAGUGCGCACAGGCAGCCAUCUUUCUGUGCACCGGUGUAAACACAUAGACCACACUUACAGAAAGGACUCCCGGGCUGCACACUGCUCUUAAAUGAAAAGGGAAGAUUCGACAGUGUGCAUUAAAUGGGAAGAAUUUCGUUGCGACUCCAGUGAUUCAUGUCAAUGACGUGGAGACAGAGUCGGUCAGUAUUUGUUUUCUUUCUUUGCUUUUCUUGGUGCAGGAAAGGGUGAAAGAGCGAGGUAAGAGGGGUUCCAAGAACUAAGGCGCGAGUGCUUUCCUGGGUCAGGGCCGUGGGGCCGCUGCCCUCCCUGGCCCCCGCCUGGCUCCUCACCAGGUCUGUGACGAGCGAGACCGGAGCCUGAGCCGCUGUGACCCGUUUCCAGAGUUCUGUGAGCUUCUCCCCAUUCCUUGUCUGUCCUCGGCCGCUCCAGAGCCCUCCACGCGAGAGGGCAGGGAAUGAGAAGGCCUUGUUCCUGGGUUUGUUGCCAGCACAGGGCCUGGCAAAGAACUGACACUCAAUAAAUAUUUGUUAACGAAUGAAUGGAUGAGACACUCAUGAAUGGUGUCUUUUGUUAUGGAAAUCGCUGGACGACAUGGUCUUCUUUGGAA